rnacentral:rRNA from 1 species
AUGGCCCCCUUUGGCCCCAUGAAGCUUUGCCACGGUUGCCGACCAUCUUCCACUGCCUAUUGGAGCGAUUCCGCUGCCCUCAGCCUGCGCAACAUCACAUCCCGCAGCCAACCAUCUUCCACUGCCAAUUGGAGCGAUUCCGCCGCUCUCAGCCUCCGCAGCACCACGUCCCGCAGCAACUACAGUUCCACCAUUAGCGACUUCUUCAACGACAAGGAGUUGUGUAAGAGCAUCAACCCCGACGAGGUUGUGGCCUACAAUGCCGCCGUCCAGGCCGCCAUCCUCAGCGGCGAGGGCAACGAGAAGGUGCAGGACCUGCUCUUGCUCGACGUCACGCCCCUGUCCCUCGGCCUGGAGACUGUCGGCGGUGUGAUGACGGUGCUCAUCCCGUGGAACACCACCAUCCCGAUCAAGAAGGAGCAGAUCUUCUCCACUUAG